CCAUUCGUGGUUCAGUGGUGAAAUUCUCACCUUCCAUGUCAGAAUCCUGGGUUCGAUUCCUGGCCAAUGCC
rnacentral:tRNA from 1 species